GACGAACGCUGGCGGCGUGCUUAACACAUGCAAGUCGAACGAUGAAGCUAGAGCUUGCUCUGGUGGAUUAGUGGCGAACGGGUGAGUAACACGUGAGUAACCUGCCCCGAACUCUGGGAUAACUGCUGGAAACGGUAGCUAAUACCGGAUAUGACCAAUGAAGGCAUCUUCUGUUGGUGGAAAGAAUUUCGGUUCGGGAUGGACUCGCGGCCUAUCAGCCUGUUGGUGAGGUAACGGCUCACCAAGGCGACGACGGGUAGCCGGCCUGAGAGGGUGAUCGGCCACACUGGGACUGAGACACGGCCCAGACUCCUACGGGAGGCAGCAGUGGGGAAUAUUGCACAAUGGGCGCAAGCCUGAUGCAGCAACGCCGCGUGAGGGACGACGGCCUUCGGGUUGUAAACCUCUUUUAGCAGGGAAGAAGCGAAAGUGACGGUACCUGCAGAAAAAGCACCGGCUAACUACGUGCCAGCAGCCGCAGUAA
rnacentral:rRNA from 1 species